rnacentral:rRNA from 1 species
AUUGAACGCUGGCGGCAGGCCUAACACAUGCAAGUCGAACGAGUGGCGGACGGGUGAGUAAUGUCUGGGAAACUGCAUGAUGGAGGGGGAUAACUACUGGAAACGGUAGCUAAUACCGCAUCCCAUCGGAUGUGCCCAGAUGGGAGUAGUUGGUAGGUGGGGCAAAGGCUCACCUAGGCGACGAUCCCUAGCUGGUCUGAGAGGAUGACCUGCCACAUUGGAACUAGGAAAUGGUCCAGAAUCCGACGGGAGGCAGAGGUGGGUAAUAUUGGACAAUGGGCGGAAGGCUGAUGCAGCCAUGCCGCGUGUAUGAAGAAGGCCUUCGGGUUUUAAAGUACUUUCAGCGGGGGGGCGUUACCCGCAGAAGAAUCACCGGCUAACUCCGUGCAAGCAGCCGCGGUAAUAC